rnacentral:rRNA from 1 species
AGAGUUUGAUCAUGGCUCAGAGUGAACGUUGGCGACGUGGAUUAGGCAUGCAAGUCGAACGCGAAAGUUCCUUCGGGAAUUAGUAGCGUGGCGAAAGGGGCAGUAACGCAUAGGUAACCUACCCUUCGGACCGAGAUAUACGGUGGAAACGCCGGGCAAUACUGGACACCGUCAUUGGAUGGCAUCAUUCGAUGAUGAAAUGAUUUAUCGCCGAGGGAGGGGCUUAUGUUCUACCAGCUUGUUGGUGAGGUAACGGCUCACCAAGGCUACGACGGAUAGGGGGUGUGAGAGCACGACCCCCGCCACUGGGACUGAGAUACUGCCCAGACUCCUACGGGAGGCUGCAGUCGAGAAUCUUCGGCAAUGGGGGAAACCCUGACCGAGCGACGUCGCGUGGUGGAUGAAGGCCUUCGGGUUGUAAACACCUGUUGGGGGGAAACAAUACUGAGAACCCCUGAGAAGCACGGCGUCGUGCGAGCAGCCGCGGUAGACG